AGUCGAACGCUGAAGCUCCAGCUUGCUGGGGUGGAUGAGUGGCGAACGGGUGAGUAACACGUGAGUAACCUUCCCUUGACUCUGGGAUAAGCCCGGGAAACUGGGUCUAAUACCGGAUAUGACUCCUCAUCGCAUGGUGGGGGGUGGAAAGAUUUAUCGGUCUUGGAUGGACUCGCGGCCUAUCAGCUUGUUGGUGAGGUAAUGGCUCACCAAGGCGACGACGGGUAGCCGGCCUGAGAGGGUGACCGGCCACACUGGGACUGAGACACGGCCCAGACUCCUACGGGAGGCAGCAGUGGGGAAUAUUGCACAAUGGGCGCAAGCCUGAUGCAGCGACGCCGCGUGAGGGAUGACGGCCUUCGGGUUGUAAACCUCUUUCAGUAGGGAAGAAGCCUUCGGGUGACGGUACCUGCAGAAGAAGCGCCGGCUAACUACGUGCCAGCAGCCGCGGUAAUACGUAGGGCGCGAGCGUUAUCCGGAAUUAUUGGGCGUAAAGAGCUCGUAGGCGGUUUGUCGCGUCUGCCGUGAAAGUCCGGGGCUUAACCCCGGAUCUGCGGUGGGUACGGGCAGACUAGAGUGCAGUAGGGGAGACCGGAAUUCCUGGUGUAGCGGUGAAAUGCGCAGAUAUCAGGAGGAACACCGAUGGCGAAGGCAGGUCUCUGGGCUGUUACUGACGCUGAGGAGCGAAAGCAUGGGGAGCGAACAGGAUUAGAUACCCUGGUAGUCCAUGCCGUAAACGUUGGGCACUAGGUGUGGGGGACAUUCCACGUUUUCCGCGCCGCAGCUAACGCAUUAAGUGCCCCGCCUGGGGAGUACGGCCGCAAGGCUAAAACUCAAAGGAAUUGACGGGGGCCCGCACAAGCGGCGGAGCAUGCGGAUUAAUUCGAUGCAACGCGAAGAACCUUACCAAGGCUUGACAUGUUCUCGAUCGCCACAGAGAUGUGGUUUCCCCUUUGGGGCGGGUUCACAGGUGGUGCAUGGUUGUCGUCAGCUCGUGUCGUGAGAUGUUGGGUUAAGUCCCGCAACGAGCGCAACCCUCGUUCCAUGUUGCCAGCGGGUUAUGCCGGGGACUCAUGGGAGACUGCCGGGGUCAACUCGGAGGAAGGUGGGGACGACGUCAAAUCAUCAUGCCCCUUAUGUCUUGGGCUUCACGCAUGCUACAAUGGCCGGUACAAUGGGUCGCGAUACUGUGAGGUGGAGCUAAUCCCAAAAAGCCGGUCUCAGUUCGGAUUGGGGUCUGCAACUCGACCCCAUGAAGUCGGAGUCGCUAGUAAUCGCAGAUCAGCAACGCUGCGGUGAAUACGUUCCCGGGCCUUGUACACACCGCCCGUCAAGUCACGAAAGUCGGUAACACCCGAAGCCGGUGGCCCAACCCUUGUGGGGGGAGCCGUCGAAGGUGGGACUGGCGAUUGGG
rnacentral:rRNA from 1 species